rnacentral:rRNA from 1 species
UGCCAGACUCCUACGGGAGGCAGCAGUCGGGAAUAUUGCGCAAUGGAGGAAACUCUGACGCAGUGACGCCGCGUGCAGGAAGAAGGUUUUCGGAUUGUAAACUGCUUUAGACAGGGAAGAUAAUGACAGUACCUGUAGAAUAAGCUCCGGCUAACUACGUGCCAGCAGCCGCGGUAAUACGUAGGUGGCAAGCGUUGUCCGGAUUUACUGGGUGUAAAGGGCGUGCAGCCGGGAGUGCAAGUCAGAUGUGAAAUCCCGCGGCUCAACCGCGGAACUGCAUUUGAAACUGUGCUUCUUGAGUGCUGGAGAGGCAGACGGAAUUCCUAGUGUAGCGGUGAAAUGCGUAGAUAUUAGGAGGAACACCAGUGGCGAAGGCGGUCUGCUGGACAGUAACUGACGGUGAGGCGCGAAAGCGUGGGGAGCAAACAGGAUUAGAUACCCGUGUA